GCUCCUUGUCGGUGUGAUUAUGGAGAUGCAGGGAGCAGGUAUCCGUGUAUGGCACGGCCUAACGAACAUUUGUUCAUGUUUCAUGCCAUACUUUCAAACUCUGCAAUGUGACUGACUGAUGUGAACAUAAUGGGGCAGCUGCACAACCACAGGAAGAGGCAGAAGAUUUCUGUUGCUCUGCCAGUGGCUCAGCAGGAAUGUACUCAACUGGAUAAUACCUUUGUCUUCUGUGGUGGUGAAUAUAAUAAAAUUGCUCUGAAAGGGCAGAACUCCUGUAGCAGCAGCAUUUGGGGGACAUCGGAACUGUGACAAACCCCACUCGCUCAGUUCUCCAACGUCCGCAAAGCAGUAGUACC